CCCUCCUCCCAACUAACGCUUUAAAAUUUCAGACAAGCAUCACACGCAAAGCAACGGUACUUUUACCCUGAUUAGUUGCGUACUUUGGGAAACGGUACUUUUUCAAGCGUUGCCACCAAUUCGUUGGACCAUCUAUAUAAUGAAUCAACUAAUGAAAAUUCCUCAUCAAAAUCCAUUUUCUGUGAGUAUCUUAAGGUUCGAUUAACUUCUUCAGUCACCUUCACAAUACUUUGAAUAUAAAAUAUUAUAUUUUGACAUGAUCGUUAUUUAUCAAAACUUUCAGAGUAUAACACCGCUUUGUUUUUGCAAUAGGAUCUUACUGUCAAAUCUUCCCGGAUCAUCUGUUCGACUGCCUUUCUUUUCUACAUCUACAAUACUUUCAAAAUCCACUGCAACAACGGCCUGUGCACAUAAAAAAUUGUAAGUUUAAUUCCAUUCCGAGCAAAUACGCGUUGUACUCUUUUUCCCUUUCAAGGUUUUAUCCCAUCAAUUUUUUCCUGUAAGGUUUUUAAUGAGGCAGCCUAUAUGCGUAUUGUUAGAGAUGUGUACUCUUUUUCCUUCAUUACAUUUUUUUUUCACUGAGUUUUUUUCUAGUAAGAUUUUAUCAAGGCACAUUAUCUAUCUAGACAUUCAAGAAGGAGUGUUAUAAAUGUAUUACAUUAUAGUGAAUGUCUAUCAAGAAUUUAGAUAAGAUCUAUCAAGAUCUAGUUGACAUCUAUCAUGAUUUGAAGUAUCUGUAAUUUAGUUAGAAACUAGGAAUAUUUUUUCCUAUAAAUAGAGGGGCUUUGUUCAUUGUAUUCUUCCCUCAAGAGAAGAAAUAAGAAUCGCUCUCUCUAUUCUCUCUACUCUUUUUCUUCUUUAUUGUUUUAUAAAAGUUUUAUUUUUUUUGUCAUUUUUAAUGUAUAAACUUUGAGGCUUAUAGAAUAAGCAAAUAAUACAUUUUUAUUUUUUUGAAAAGACUAUAAUGUCCUUGAUCGUUCUUCAACUCACCUUUUUAUAUAUAUACUAGAUACCUGUGCCCGUGCAAGGCACGAGCCUUUUGACAACACUAAUGUGCAAAAGAGAUCCAACUUUGCAAAAGAUUAUUUCCUACUUAUUGUAAAUGUUUAGUAUUGGAGUAAAAGAAAAGAAAUGCAGUACAAUGAACCGAUGUUAACAUACUAUAUACAUUCAGUGUGGAACGAAAUUGAGCUUGCUAGACUAGUCCAGCCAAUACUAAAGUGAUUAUAUGAGUGGAUAAAAAUCUAGCUAGAUUGUUGCAACUACAGUUGGCGACACGCCAUUCGUUUGGACAUUCCUGAAAAAAUACACGUUGCACAUCUCAUUUGAAAAUUUCAAAUAUAUAAGUUAUGGAGACACAUACAUCGUUCCGAAAUAUUUAUUGCAUCAUAAAAUUAUCGAAAUACCCUUGAUAGUUAUUUAAUAAGGAACAAAAAGAUAUUUAUAAUAAAUUACUACCAUGUGUAAUUCAAUUACAAUGGUCUAAAUAAAAAUAUUAUUAAAAUAAUACAUGAGGACAAAACUACUAAAUAUAAGAAAAACGCAAUAUGCAUGUGUAACCAUUUUAUUGCACUAUAAAAAUUAGGACAAAACUAACAAAUAUAAGGAAAAAACAAUAUGCAUGUGUGACCAUUUUAUUGCAUCCUAAAAUUACCAAAAUACCCUUGAUAGUCAUUUAAUAAGGAAGAAAAAAUAUUUAUAAAAAAAAUUACUAUCAUGUAUAAUUCAAUUACAAAGGUCUAAAUAAAAAUAUUAUUAAAAUAAUAACUAAGGAGAAAACUAAUAAAUAUAAGAAAAAGUAAUAUGCAUGUGUAACCAUAUUACUGCACUAUAAAAAUGAGGACAAAACUAAUAAAUAUAAGAAAAAAAUAAUAUGCACGUGUAACCAUUUUAUUACAUCCUAAAAUUAUCAAAAUAUCCUUGAUAAUCAUUUAAUAAGGAACAAAAAAGAUAUUUAUAAAAAAAUACUGUCAUAUAUAAUUCAAUUACAAAGGUCUAAAUACGAAUAUUAUUAAAAUAAUACAUGAGGGCAAAACUAAUAAAUAUAAAAAAAAAUUAAUAUACAUGUGUAAUCAUGUUAUUGCAGCAUAAAAAUAAAGACAAAAUUAAUAAAUAUAUAAAAAGAUCAUGCGCAUAUAUAACCAUUUUAUUUACUACUAUAUAUAAGUGGAGGUUGGGGUGAUUAAAAUUACCAAAAUAUCCUUGAUACUCACCCCAACCUUCACUUAUUAUAUUGAAAAACCCUUGAUAGUCAUUUAAUAGGGAUCAAAAAGAUAAUUAUAAAAAAAAUACUUUCAUGUAUAAUUCAAUUACAAAGAUCUAAAUAAAAAUAUUAUUAAAAUAAUACAUGAGGACAAAAUUAAACUAAUAAAUAUAAGAAAAAAAUGAUAUGCAUAUGUAAUUAUUUUAUUGCACCAUAAAAAUGAGGAUAAAACUAAUAAAUAUAAAAAAAAUCAUAUGCAUGUGUAAUUAUUUUAUUUACUAUUAUAUAAAAGUGAAGGUUGGGGUGACUAAAAUUACCAAAAUACCUUUAAUAGUCACCAUAACUUUCACUUAUAUAUUAAGUAAAAAAUAAUAUAAUGAUAAAUAGAAUAGAAAUGAAAUAAUAGUAAUGUUCUACUACUAAUAAAGUAAAGAUUUGGUACUACUAUUGAGAAAUUUUAACUUUUGAAAGAGAGUCGCCACUUAAUUUUGAAAAGGAAUUAAAAAACCUUUAUAAAAGUUAUUUCAAACGAUUCAAAACAAGAAAAUUGUUUUAAGUUAGAGAUUCUAUAUAAGCGAUUCCUAAUAACGUUUUAGGAAGGUGUUAGACACCUAAAACGUCCACUAACUUGCAGUUAUCCAGACUGUUUGAAAAUCGUCUUUGACUAACUUUGAAAAAAAGGAUUUCUGCAAAGAAAAGCAAUUUUAGUGAUAUUUUAGUGUUUAUGCAAAACCAGUUUUUAGGCGACUUAGUUAGGGAUUUUAACUAAGUUCUCAAAGAAACAUGUAAAUAAGUAAACGAAAGGAAAAGGGAGAAAAGCGGGGAAGUAUUGAUUUAGGCUUUCAAGCCCGAAGCAUCACCCCUGACCUAAUCUAGUUGAGUUUUCAACCCAUUUCACGUGUCUUAGUCUAGUUUUUGAGCCUUUGGCUCGAAUCUCGCUCCACUUACAUUAAAUUUACAACUUUGGCUUCGAAACCCAAAUGAAAUAAAGAAAUAAAUAAAUAAAAAAAUAAAUAAAAGUCGACAAAAUAAAUAAACAAAUAAAAGAAAAGAAAUGUUCUAAUCCCUUGGCCGCUUCAAAGAUGAGAUUUUAAUCCAUCAUUCCUCUUUCGACUUCUCGUAUCCACAUGCCACGUGCUCAACUUUGGGCUUUCAUUCGUGCUUGACUCGGAAGGAUAGGCCUCAUUGGCCCAUUUUUGAAAUACAAAGAGAGAAAAAGCCCAUUUGGGCAUAUGCGUUCAUAAAAAUGAAUUACUUUUAUAACAACAAAAAUUCAGAAAGUUCAAAGCUGUUAAAAAAAUCACUACUUCAAUACAUUAAAGGAAACUUAGCUACUAGAAUAGUGAUAUAUACGAAAUGCAACUGUGUUUAAUUGGUUUUGAACUUUUAACAUAGAGAUCAAAGAGAACACGCCAUAUUAUGCUGGACUUUGGCAUGAAAGUAUGCAUAUGCAUGAAAGAAUUCUAGUAAAAGGUCACUUUUCCUAAUCGCAUGUGAUGACCAUUAGAUGAGAGCAUAGGACGUACUGUUGGUUUUGUUUGUUGAAGUAGAGGGAUGCUAUAACAUUUGUUAAAGGACCGUACAUUAAUAGUAAAUCACAAUCCAUUCCUUUUGACAAAACGAUAGGUUCUGGUGCUUACUUAUGAGAAGGAAUACACAGAAACUAAGAAAAUUUUAUCAGUUGGCUAUCAAAACACUCAACUGGAAUACAAAACUGAAGAGCUGAAGAUAAUUCCCAAAAAAUAGAUACUUAAAUUUAUGCUACAGAUGAACCGAGAUAAGUUCGUUUCACUUCUUUUCUUGUAUGUUGUACAGUAUACAGGACAAUCCAAUAAACAAAAGCAAAGACGGUAUCACUUGAAUCAAGAACACUAUUAAUUUCCAAUACUAAAAUCGAAAUGCAGUCAUGCGCUUCAAAUAAACCAAUCUAUACCACACUAUAUGAUACUGUCAUGUUAUAUGGGACAGGAGAAAACUGUUUGCAAGCUGUUUUGAGAACUUCAUACCUAAACGUAACCCCACAAUCUCGUCAAGAGAUUAAUUGAAACACAGAAAAAAAGCGAAAUUGACCUAUAAAUCCAAGUUCCAUUGACAGUAGGUAUUCAAAGAGACAUACAACAGUGACGCUCCAUUUCCACGAGGAGAACAAAAUAAGGCCAUUCCUUCUAAAUAAACAUACUAAGAUACCUCAUUAUUGCAUUCAUCUUCCUAACCCGAUCAUGUACUGGCAACAAGCUCAAGAGACAAGGAAGGAUAAAAGAUUCGAAUCCACACAAAAAAAAGACAUAGUAGAUAAAGCUAAAGGGAAAGUGGCCGGGCACUACUAUCAUCCUCAUCCUCUUUUGUCAAACUCAAAUGAGUUCUAAUAGCCAAAAUGGUCAUCGAGGAAUCAUGGGAUUUGUCAGUUUUUGUCGAGCUUAUCCUCAUCAUUCUUUGUUAUUUGGGAAGCCAAGGAACUCAUGGGGAAGUCUCGAAAAACAAGACGACGUUAAAUACCAACAAUGAAAAAAACACCCUCGGCCCGAAAACUAUCAAAACAAGAAUAAAACAUGAAACUUUAAAAUAACACAAGCUAGAGCAGGGCACCAUCGACCCAAAACGAUCAAAUCACGCAACAUUAAACCCUGAAGCCAACCAUGACAACAUACAAGCAGCUCGAAACGACUAAACAAAAUCAAAAUUUAGCCACGAAACUAGCCUUAACAAUAUACCAGUAACUCAAACCAAAAUCAAAAGCAUGAAACUUUAAAAGACAAACCAGCCUUAACAAAAUACCAGCAACUCAAACAGAAUCGCAGAACAUAAAACUUUAACAUAAAGUCAGCUAUACAAACCUUAAGCAUUUCACAAAAAAUGAGAGUAUUAAAUCAAAAAUCUACCAAAACAACUACCUACGGCUAUCAAAGCCAUCUACCAGCAAACAACCCAGCAUACAAUUAUACUAAAAAAUUUAUUCACGACUAUAGAAGAUCGAGAUGAAGCAGAAACAGAUGAAGCUUAAAUGGAAAAGGGUAUUACCUUUUAGGGAGCAGCAAAAUAGGACUCGAUCUAUCACCCGAUUCGCACCACCGGAGAAAGGCCUAGCAGCUACUUCGAACAAUUUCGACGAGCUUCAAAUUUUUACUAAAAUGAAAGAAUUUAUCGAUUUUGCUCAGAAUGGCUCACUUUUUUCCCCUCUUUAGACCUAGUUUUUCUAAGAACUCCCCCAAUCCAAAUUUUCUCAACCCCCUCGACUUUCGAAUACCUUUGCUUCCAAGAUUUUGAACCUAGAAAGGAGAGGCCAGCCCCCCAAAAAAAAUCUUCCCAAUUUCGAACCGUCAAAAGACCAUCCGAAAUUUCAAACCCCAGAACCUCCAUCCUAGGAAGAAGAGAAAAUCCUCCGAUUUUCCCCGAAUCCAAAAAGGAAGAAGCCAAAAAAAUACCCUUUUUCAGCUCAACAGUGAGCUCUUUAUAUAGAAGUCAAUUGAGGGUAAUUUAGGGAUUCCCUUUCCAAAGAUAAUUCAAAAUUUUUUAACUCCCAAUCGGGUUCCCCUAAUAAAUUGUACCGAUUUCCAAAUCGGUGGACCAAUAAUAUUUAGCCAAAACGGAUUUUCACCAUGAGCCAAUAAAAUUGUGACAUACAUGUACGGAAUCGUACUCCCAUACCUGAGAUUCACGGAAUUGAUACGUUGAGAGGACACCUCGACUUAUUUAUAGAAGAUUCAAGGGUUUUCUUCACAUGAACUUACGUGGGACGCGUGAAGGAGGCUACAAACGGGUUGGUUACGGGGUGUUGGUUGUGAGAAUCGGGUUUAGGGUUGCAGGUGAGGUUGGUUCGUCUUGAAAAUGGGUCGAAGGGUUUAGGUUUUUGUGAUGUUGUCGCGUCUGUUGAGGGUUGGUGUUGUUAUGCUGAAGGGGGAGAUAUAACGGAAUGGGCCGGGUCGGAGGUAGUUUGGGCCUGGGUUGAGACAUAAAAUUGGGCUGGUGAAU
rnacentral:lncRNA from 1 species